ensembl:lncRNA
UUUACAAGAGAAAGCAGGUAGGAGGUGGACUUGGAGGAGAACCAGGCUUGCUUGUGAGAGCAGCAGGAAAGCAGACCUUUACCUCAGUCAGCAGAGGCAACAAAGGCACCUGCAGCCUCACCUGCACGUUGAGGCCAGAGGGACACUGCGGCAGACACAGCCUGCCUUAAUGCUGAGGAUCCCAGCUGCUGUAUCUCUCCAGGAAACCAGAGCCUCUGUAAUGCUGAGAAGGCUUUGUCUGUGACUGGACCCCACUGAAGUAAGCACCGCCACCUGAGACAGCAAGGCUACAGAUAUACUAGAGUGAUGUGAAAAUGAUCAUGAAACUGAGAUUGUUCCUGGCAAACUUGGGAGGAAAGCUUAGGACUGUGAUUCACAAUAUGGCCUGGAGUAAACACUGCAGCACAAAUGCCGCUGGAUAGUAUUCUCUGGACAAACAGGAAAUGCACUAAAAAGCAGUUCG